rnacentral:rRNA from 1 species
AUUGAACGCUGGCGGCAGGCUUAACACAUGCAAGUCGAGCGAGCGGCGGACGGGUGAGUAAUGUCUGGGAAACUGCCUGAUGGAGGGGGAUAACUACUGGAAACGGUAGCUAAUACCGCAUACCAUCAGAUGUGCCCAGAUGGGAUUAGCUAGUGGGUGGGGUAAUGGCUCACCUAGGCGACGAUCCCUAGCUGGUCUGAGAGGAUGAACAGCCACACUGGAACUGAGACACGGGCCAGACUACUACGGGAGGCAGGAGGGGGGAAUAGUGCAAAAUGGGAGGAAGCCUGAUGUAGACAUGCCGCGUGUAUGAAGAAGGCAUUCGGGUUGUAAAGUACUUUCAGCUGGGAGGCGUUACCCGCAGAAGAAGCACCGGCUAACUCCGUGCCAGCAGCCGCGGUAAUAC